GCCUGCACAAUUGAGUUAGCCCAUCAGCAAAUGAGCUGACCUACCAAGGUCUUGAGUCGACUCCAACAAAAAUAAGUUAACUCACCAAGCACUUAAGUCGAUUCAAUCAAGAAUUAAGUCGACUCCACAGGCAUACCAGUUACAGUUUCAUGCUCUCACGCAAACAAAGCCUAGGAUUUUGGACUAGAAUUUUGCAGAAAUUCUUUCUACAUGCAUAGAUUUAAUAUUAUUA
rnacentral:lncRNA from 1 species